UACGAAGGGGACUAGCGUUGUUCGGAAUCACUGGGCGUAAAGCACACGUAGGCGGAUUUGUAAGUCAGGGGUGAAAUCCCGGGGGCUCAACCUCGGAACUGCCUUUGAUACUGCGAAUCUUGAGUCCGAUAGAGGUGGGUGGAAUUCCUAGUGUAGAGGUGAAAUUCGUAGAUAUUAGGAAGAACACCGGUGGCGAAGGCGGCCCACUGGAUCGGUACUGACGCUGAGGUGCGAAAGCGUGGGGAGCAAACAGG
rnacentral:rRNA from 1 species